AAUGAACGCUGGCGGCAGGCCUAACACAUGCAAGUCGAACGGAUCCUUCGGGAUUAGUGGCGGACGGGUGAGUAACGCGUGGGCACAUACCCUUUGGUACGGAAUAGCCUCGGGAAACUGGGAGUAAUACCGUAUGUGGUCGAGAGACGAAAGAUUUAUCGCCAAAGGAUUGGCCCGCGUUGGAUUAGGUAGUUUGUGGGGUAAUGGCCUACCAAGCCGACGAUCCAUAGCUGGUUUGGGAGGAUGAUCAGCCACACUGGGACUGAGACACGGCCCAGUCUCCUACGGGAGGCAGCAGUGGGGAAUCUUAGACAAUGGGGGAAACCCUGAUCUAGCCAUGCCGCGUGAUCGAUGAAGGCCUUAGGUUUGUAAAAAUCUUUCAGGUGGGAAGAUAAUGACUGUACCAACAGAAGCAGCUCCGGCUAUCUCCGUGCCAGCCGCCGCCGUAAGAC
rnacentral:rRNA from 1 species